CGGAACGGGUGGAGUAACGCGUGAGGAACCUGCCUCAAAGAGGGGGACAGCAGUUGGAAACGACUGCUAAUACCGCAUAAGCCCACGGGUCGGCAUCGACCAGAGGGAAAAGGAGCAAUCCGCUUUGAGAUGGCCUCGCGUCUGAUUAGCUAGAUGGUGAGGUAACGGCCCACCAUGGCGACGAUCGGUAGCCGGACUGAGAGGUUGAACGGCCACAUUGGGACUGAGACACGGCCCAGACUCCUACGGGAGGCAGCAUG
rnacentral:rRNA from 1 species